rnacentral:tRNA from 1 species
UCUAAUAUGGCAGAAUAGUGCCAUGAAUUUAAGCUUCAUAUAUAAAGUAAUAACACUUUUAUUAGAA